ACAAGUACGUUAAAAAUAUCUCUCAUUGAAUUUUUUUUUUUAUAAUUUCCGGUUUUGAUAGAUGUAUGUAAAAUGAUGGAGAACGUUUUUAUCUUUUGUCUUACAAUUGCGUACGUGAAAGCAGGGUCAUGCUAUUAUCAGUAUUACUUUAGAACCAUUCCGCUGUCAGAAUACAGAUUUUGUUUGACCGGAUGUUGUGGACCAAAGGUACCAGAUGGCAGGAACUACUGUUGUCCGUCCAUUGGCGCCACAAUUGGAAUCGUGUUGGCUUUAAUCUUAUUCAUUGCAAUUGUCAUAGGACUAUGUAUGGUGUAUAGAAGGAGGAAACACGGAUAUGUGCAUUAUAGAAAUUAUAACCCAUGGACAAGGUCAACAGAAAGUGAAAGCAUUCUCCGAAAUAAUGAACACUCAAGAACUUUAUAUUCCCACACACGCCUGUAAUAUUGUGUUGACAUGUUUGUGUGGAGAUGUGCCUAGAUUGGCAGAAGAUAUACAGAUACACGCCUCAUUCACACGCCAUAGGUUUAAACAGGUUUAUGUAUCAUGUGUUAUAACAAGAUGUGUAGUGGAAGCACCAUGUGUAGUGGAAUCACCAUGUGUAGUGGAAUCACCAUGUGUAGUGGAAUCACCAUGUGUAAUGAACAAGGUUACACUAGAAGCACAAUGUGUACAGUGUAACAUAAACGCUCAAAUUUAAAUGCACGAAAUGCACACUUUGAUAAUAAACAUUAAUUGAGUGAUAAUAAAUCUUCAUAUAUUUAGUGUAAUCAUCGUGUGCUUAGUGGUAUUAUCAUGUUUCUAGGGUACUCAUCACAGUUAUAUUGUUUCCUUAAAUUACUGGAGAAUACAGGCUUUUUCCCCUGGAGAAAAAUCCCUAUUGGAAAAAGAAAUGGCUUAAAAUUAUUCCCAAAAAGGCAACUUUCUUCCAAAACAGUGCAAUCUCAGUAGUUAUUGAAAGAUGUUACCAUAAGGAACAUCUGUACUAAGUUUCAAGUUGAUUGGACUUUGAUUUUAAAAAAACUACCUUGACCAAAUACUUUAACCUGAAGCGGGACAGAUCAGUGAUAUUGUUUCCUUAAAUUACUGGAGAAUACAGGCUUUUUCCCCUGGAGAAAAAUCCAAAUUUGAAAAAGAAAUGGCUUAAAAUUAUUCCCAAAAAGGCAACUUUUUUCCAAAACAGUGCAAUCUCAGUAGUAAUACAAACUGAAAAACACUCAUUUAAACAUUUUUCAUGCCUAAAAUGACGAUGUGUGCAGAUUUGUGGGUCUCCUUAUUUAUCAUCACUGACAAUAAGGGGUCUAAUUUCAAAUAAGGGUUAACCUCUUGAAGUUCCAGUCAAAUUCAUGGUUUAUCAUAAAUUUCCCAAUUUGAAAAUAAAAAAGGGUAGAGGAAGUUUUGAAAAAAGCCAACAAUAUCACUGCAUCAUCAAUCUAGUGCAUUGUGUUCAGUAUGAUUAUCAUGUUUCUAGUGUAAUAACAUAGUGUGCAUCAUGUGAUCAUCAUGUUUCUAGUGUGAUCACAAUAUAUCUAGUGUGAUUACAGUAUGUAUCGUGUGAUCAUAAAGUUUCUAGUGUGAACACACUGUAUCUAGUGUGAUUACAGUAUGCAUGGUGUGAUUAUAAAGUUUCUAGUGUGAACACAAUAUAUCUAGUGUGAUUACAGUAUGUAUCGUGUGAUCAUAAACUUUCUAGUGUGAACACAAUAUAUCUUGUGUGAUAACAGUAUAUAUCGUGUGAUCAUUGAGGUUCUAGUGUGAACAUGAUAUAUCUAGUGUUAUAACAGUAUUUACGGUGUGAUAAUUAUGUUUCUAGUGUGAACACACUGUAUCUAGUGUGAUUACAGUAUGUAUGGUGUGAUCAUUAUGUUUCUAGUGUGAACACAGUAUAUCUAGUGUGAUUACAGUACGUAUGGUGUGAUAAUUAUGUUUCUAGUGUGAACACACUGUAUCUAGUGUGAUUACAGUAUGCAUGGUGUGAUUUUAAAGUUUCUAGUGUGAACACAAUAUAUCUAGUGUGAUUACAGUAUGUAUCGUGUGAUUAUAAAGUGUCUAGUGUGAACACAAUAUAUCUAGUGUGAUUACAGUAUGUAUCGUGUGAUCAUAAACUUUCUAGUGUGAACACAAUAUAUCUUGUGUGAUAACAGUAUAUAUCGUGUGAUCAUUGAGGUUCUAGUGUGAACAUAAUAUAUCUAGUGUUAUAACAGUAUUUACUGUGUGAUCAUCAUGUUUCUAGUGUGAACACAGUAUAUCUAGUGUGAUUACUGUAUGUACGGUGUGAUAAUUAUGUUUCUAGUGUGAACACACUGUAUCUAGUGUGAUUACAGUAUGUAUCGUGUGACCAUCAAGGUUCUAGUGUGAACACAAUAUAUCUAGUGUGAUUACAGUAUGUAUGGUGUGAUCAUCAUGUUUCACGUGUGAACACAGUAUAUCUAGUGUGAUUACAGUAUGUAUGGUGUGAUCAUUAUGUUUCUAGUGUGAACACACUGUAUCUAGUGUGAUUACAGUAUGUAUUGUGUGAUCAUCAUGUUUCUAGUGUGAACACAGUAUAUCUAGGGUCAUUACAGUACGUAUGGUGUGAUAAUUAUGUUUCUAGUGUGAACACACUGUAUCUAGUGUGAUUCCAGUAUGUAUGGUGUGAUCAUUAAGGUUCUAGUGUGAACACAAUAUAUCUAGUGUGAUUACAGUAUGUAUCGUGUGAUCAUCAUGCUACUAGUGUGACCACAGUAUAUCUAGUGUGAUUACAGUUUGUAUGGUGUGAUCAGUAUGAUUCUGGUGUGAACACAAUAUAUCUAGUGUGAUUACAGUAUGUAUCGUGUGACCAUUAAGAUUCUAGUGUGAACACAAUUUAUCUAGUGUGAUUACAGUAUUUAUGGUGUGAUCAUCAUGUUUCUAGUGUGAACACAGUAUAUCUAGUGUGAUUACAGUAUGUAUGGUGUGAUCAUUAUGUUUCUAGUGUGAACAGACUGUAUCUAAUGUGAUUACAGUAUGUAUCGACUAUUAAGGUUCUAGUGUGAACACAAUAUAUCUAGUGUGAUUACAGUAUGUAUGGUGUGAUCAUUAUGUUUCUAGUGUGAACAGACUGUAUCUAAUGUGAUUACAGUAUGUAUCGACCAUUAAGGUUCUAGUGUGAACACAAUAUAUCUAGUGUGAUUACAGUAUGUAUGGUGUGAUCAUUAUGUUUCUAGUGUGAACAGACUGUAUCUAAUGUGAUUACAGUAUGUAUCGACCAUUAAGGUUCUAGUGUGAACAAGAUAUAUCUAGUGGGAUUACAGUUUGUAUCGUUUGAUCAUCAUUUUUCUAGUGUGAACACACAUUCAAUAUAUCUAGUGUGAAUACAGUAUGUAUUGUGUGAUCGUCAUGUUUCUAGUGUGAACACAAUAUAUCUAGUGUGAACACAGUAUGUAUCGUGUGAUCAUCAUGCUUCUAGUGUGAACACUGUAUCUAUUGUGGAUUAUUUCAACAACACAAAUAACAAUAUAACUUAAACAGUUCUAAAUAUCAUUUAUUUUUAAAGUUUAACAUGUUUAACAGUUUAUUGUUUAUUUUGGUCAAUGCACAUAGAGCCUGACGAGAAGCAUAUACUUCGUAUAUCUGCAACCGAUUUCACCUGGAUAGUUGCAAACCCGAUAGAUGGGUAGUUUGUCUUAUAUAUUGCUAUUAUUAAUUUUAAUCGUAUUAUAAAUAAAUAUUUGAUAUAUACAUAUUGCAAAGUGUCUCCCCAUAACAUUAUUAGGCAUAUAUAUACAUGAUUUACGUAAGAUAAUAAUAUAGACUUUACUAAGUUCAAAAAUAUAUUCUAACUAAAUCUUUACUACAUUUAACUAAUUUAAAAAUUCGCCGUUUCAGAAUCUAAUGCAUCCUGGGUAAUAUUUUAAUAAGCGUACACCAAAGCGUCUUGAUUGGGUGAAAACGUUAUUAAAAAUUGAAAUUCAACCAAUGACAUAACGUUAUUUUCACUUUGGGGUACGAACAAUGAAAUUUCUUAUGAUGCUCUAGAUUCUGAAACGGCCAAAAUAGCAAGCAAUGGUGUCAAAUAAAUAUUUCUUCAAUUUUAUGCAGUAAUAAAAUUGAAAAUGGAAAUGGGGAAUGUGCCUAAGAGAGAACAACCCGACCAUAGAAAAAACAACAGCAGAAGGUCACCUACAGGUCUUCAAUGAAGCGAGAAAUUCCUGCACCCGGAGGCGUCCUUCAGCUGGCCCCUGAAACUUUUCUUGUU